AGAUAAUAGAUACCCUGGUAGUCCACGCCCUAAACUAUGAUAACUGGCUUUCCGGAGUAUCGACCCUCUGGAGGCGAAAGCUAAACGCGUUAAGUUAUCCGCCUGGGUAGUACGGCCGCAAGGCUAAAACUCAAAGGAAUAGACGGGGGCUUGCACAAGCGGUGGAGCGUGUGGCUUAAAUUCGUCGCUAAGCGAAGAACCUUACCAGGGCUAGAAAUCCUACUGCACGUCUAGCGAAAGCUAGAAAGCCUUCGAGGGUGUAGGACAGGUGAUGCAUGGCUGUCGUCAGUUCGUGGUUUGAAUCGUUCCCUUCAGUGGGGUAACGAACGCAACCCUCGUUGCCUGUUACAAGUGUCAGGCGAGACUGCCCCCUCACGGGGGAGGAAGGUGAGGAUGACGCCAAGUCAGCAUGUCCCUCUGAUGUCCUGGGCUGCACACGCGCUACAAUCGCCUUUACAGAGGGGCGCAAUGUCGUAAGACGGAGCAAAUCCCUAAAACGAGGCGCCAGUUCGGAUU
rnacentral:rRNA from 1 species